GAACAUAUCAGAUUCUAUUUGUGACAUGCAAACAUAGAAAAAUAUGAAUAAAACUCUCAAGUUUGUGUAUGUUUUGAUUUUAUUUAUUUCCCUAUCUAUUGUUUCAAAGAGCGUUGCCCAAUAUAAUAUUGGAUGCAAAACCGAUGAUGAUUGUCAAAAAUACUAUACAAAAAUGUUUGGGAUGAAGUGUUUUAAAAGCUGGUGUAUUACUGGGAUCUUAGACUAGCAAAAAAUCUAUGAAUUAUACCUUAUGAUUUACUGGUUGCAAAUACAAUAUAAAUGUCCCAGAGCCAAAUAACAUGAAUCAUUAAGAUUCAUCCUUCACUUUGCUUGAUCAUGACCAAGAGCAAAAUAUAAUUUUCUAGAUGCAGAUUUUCAAAAACAUAUAGAGAAGAUUUUUUUUUUCGGAAUCAGCUUCUUCACCGUUGCUCACACAUGUACUAACCCUAGUUUCCCUAACGAUCUUGUAAGGCUUGUCCAAAUUCAUGCUGCUACCAGUACGACAUCAUAGGAGCAUUAAACUUAUAGGUGAAAACUUCUGUAUAUAUACGAAAACAUUGAAUUGGUUUCUCAUGGUUAAUUCACAUUUAACGUUUCUGAUGUAAUCUAAAACUUAUUUUCACUAUAUGAUGAACAUUGUUUUUAGUC